rnacentral:rRNA from 1 species
GUCUACGGCCAUGCCACCCUGAACAAACCCGAUCUCGUCUGAUCUUGGAAGCUAAGCAGGGUCGGGCCUGGUUAGUACUCGGAAGGGAGACCACCCAGGAAGACCAGGUGCUGCUGCGU